GCGAGUGGAUGGGCAGUCGGUGGUGCGUCUCGAGGCGGUGGAUGGGCACACCUACGUAUUUCUCGAGAAGUCAGCGUGAAUACGGGGAUAUUUACUGCUGUAGUACUGAUGGUUAAAUAUUUUAGGCCAAUAUAAAUCGUAGACAGUCUGGGAUAGGGAAAGAGAAUAAGGAGCAGUUUCCGGGACAAAGAGAAAAGAGAAGAGGAAGAAACUGGAACAAGCGGUUCUGAUAUACAAGAGUCUUAUGCUGAGAUCAUCGAAAACAUGAAAUUUGUAUGUGAAGGGAAAUCUGUCAUCAAUAAUCUUGCAAGUAGAGAGCAGAUCAGUGUCCCAGGCUAGAAGAGAUGGCUUUAAAAAACAAAGAGGAUUCAGUAUCUAGAAGAGAGACUCCACACAGCAAGUGUUGGAAUCCCACUCAUAUAGAUUUUCACACAAGGAGGGGAAUGACUCAAGUUUUCAGGCCAAUACAGCGCAUGAUGGAAAGAAUCUGGAGCCAUUAUCUCUGAUAUACAGAGUCAUCCUUUAUCAGAUCACUGAAAACAAGAUAUUUAUAUGAAGGCACGGUUUGUGAUGAGAUCCUUUUCUGUUGAUUUUGAUUUCUUUGUUCAUGUUUCAGUCUCUUGUCAAGGUUUGAUUCCUCUUUUAUUUAGUAUAGGACAAUUCUUGUAUUGUAUUGUAUUGUUUUGUUUUGUAUCUGUAUUGUAUUGUGUUCCGUAUCUGGUUUUUUUUUGUUAAGCGUGCAGGCUUUAAAAAGGGAGUAGUAUUGCUGAACGCUUGUGUUUAUCUUUUGCAUGUUUUUUUUUUGAACUCUUUGCAUUCACUUUGAAUUUGAUUUUCUUUCUUGACAAGAGAGAACCUCAUUUCCUUAUUGUUGAUUUUUGUUUCUUUGUUAUCCAUAUAUCGUCUUAGAUAUUACAAUUUUCUAUCAUGUUUUUUUUACUUUACUUAAGAUGGACUCAGCAAACUGUUUUUGUUUGAUAACUGAUUUGAUUUUCUUAACCACCACAGAAUUCAACAAACUCUUCAUGAAACUUCUUUCCAAAACUAAACAGUCUACAGAAUCUGAAUUUGAAAUGUUAAAAGUGAUCCAUUACACAAAAUUGCAUUUCAAUUAAACAGCUGUUGAACUGGCUUGGUACUGUGCAGCUGUUUGUGAAUCCGCUUGGUGUUUUGCCUCCGGUUGUUUUAGUUGUCACUACUGAAAAUGCAAGUAUAAAUUAUAAUUAGGUAAACCAAAUUGUUUUCGACUAUUUAAAAAAAAAAUUUGAACUUACUGUUUAAAGCUGAGAUCAAUGUUUUCUUCAACUUAAAAGUUGAAUAAGGUAAUCAUCAUCAUCUGGAAUGUGCUGCUCAGAAUUUCCUCCAAAGUUUCUAAUGAGAUUUUCCGACCCUGCAUCAAAUUUUUAGCAAGCUAGUUAGUACACUUUGUAAAUAUUUUGGUGCUGCUUGGUAUCACAUGUUGUAUCCUUAGGGUUUAUGUGUCUUUCAUCUGUUUUCAGUUUGAGUUGAUAUUUAGGGUGAACUGACCUCUUCCAAAUAGUCGUUGUAGUGAAGGAUGCAGUGCCGGUAGAAUUUGAAAACUGCCCUUGCAUCCGUUUUGUACUCCCCUUUAAAGCUGUUGUACACUGCCUCUAAUAUCGGUUUGCCACUGAUUAUGUUCUCGAUGUUCAUGAACUUCUGCAUUUCUUCUAGCCUCUUCCAUAUUGUUUUGUCCUCUGUCAUACAUUUUUGUCCAAUCAUGACGAAGGCAUCAUGGACAAAAAGUAUUCUUUCUACUCUGGACAACAGUAUUGGGUGGUAAAACAACUGCUCGAGCUCAGUCCUGUAAUUCAAUAAUUGCAGAUUGAAUUAAUGACAGUUUUAGUUUCAUGUUAGAUUAGGUCUGAGAAUGUGAAAAAAGAAAAAAGAAAAAAAUCUUACUGAUUGCUUGCCCUACUGGCCAGAUGCCUAAAGUGCUCGAACUCAAGCGGGUAUGAUAGGUAUGCUGGAAAUAUGGUCUCAAUCAGUCUGUCAAGGGCUUCAUUAUACGUCUGUUUAGCUUCAGUGGAGGAUUUGUCCAACUGUAUAUAUUUUUAAAAUGCUUCAGAGUCUGCAUUUAUGAUUAUGCUGUCCAAGUUUAGCCCUCCGAAUUGAUGUUGCUUCUGCAUAUUGAUGAAAUUUUUAAUCAAGUCCCUGCAAAAUUUUAAACAUUCUAUAUAUGAACAUCCUUGUUAAUAUGAAUGAUUGACAUGUGAUAGUCAGCAAUGUAUGAACAUCCUUGUGAAUUUGAAUGCACAGUGCACACAUUUCUGAACUCUAAACCCGCAAUGAAUUAAUCCGAAUCUUUUUGUGCAUGAUUUAACUGUGGAAACUUUUUGUUCAUGAUUCAACUGUGGAAGCUUGGUUUUGUGUAUAAGAAUGUCCUUAUUAAUCUGAAUGCACAGUUCAAAUAAUUCUGAACUCUAUAUCCUCAAUGAAUUAAUCUGAAGCUUUUUGUGCAUGAUUCAACUGUGGAAGCUUUUUGUGCGUGAUUCAACUUUGUAAGCAGGGUUUGGUGUAUAUGAAUGUCCUUAUUAAUCUAAAUGUACAGUACACAUUUCUCAUAUCUGGAAAUUUGAAAUAUUAGCAAGUCGUAGUCUGCUAUAUAUGAAUAUCCUAAUCUGAAUACUUAGCAGACGCAUUUCUAUUUCCUAAACCCUCAUGAGAUCCGAUCCCUACGCGUUGAGGGAAUAGGAAAUAGAAAUGUGUCUGCUAAGUAUUCAGAUUAGGAUAUUCAUAUAUAGCAGACUACGACUUGCUAAUAUUUCAAAUUUCCAGAUAUGAGAAAUGUGUACUGUACAUUUAGAUUAAUAAGGACAUUCAUAUACACCAAACCCUGCUUACAAAGUUGAAUCACGCACAAAAAUCUUCCACAGUUGAAUCAUGCACAAAAAGCUUCAGAUUAAUUUAUCGAGGAUAUAGAGUUCAGAAAUAUUUGAACUGUGCAUUCAGAUUAAUAAGGACAUUCUUAUACACAAAACCAAGCUUCCACAGUUGAAUCAUGAACAAAAAGCUUCCACAGUUAAAUCAUGCACAAAAAGAUUCGGAUUAAUUCAUUGCGGGUUUAGAGUUCAGAAAUGUGUGCACUGUGCAUUCAAAUUCACAAGGAUGUUCAUACAUUGCUGACUACCACAUGUCAAUCAUUCAUAUUAACAAGGAUGUUCAUAUAUAGCAUGUUUAAAAUUUUGCAGGGACUUGAUUAAAAAUUCCAUCAAUAUGCAGAAGCAACAUCAAUUCGGAGUGCUAAACUUGACUCUGAAGCAUUUUUAAAAUACAUACAGUUGGACCAAUCCUCCACUGAAGCUAAACAGACGUAUAAUGAAGCCCUUGACAGACUGAUUGAGACCAUAUUUCCAGCAGACCUAUCAUACCCGCUUGAGUUCGAGCACUUUAAGCAUCUGGCCAGUAGGGCAAGCAAUCAGUAAGAUUUUUUUCUUUUUUCUUUUUUCACAUUCUCAGACCUAAUCUAACAUGAAACUAAAACUGUCAUUAAUUCAAUCUGCAAUUAUUGAAUUACAGGACUGAGCUCGAGCAGUUGUUUUACCACCCAAUACUGCUGUCCAGAGUAGAAAGAAUACUUUUUGUCCAUCAUGCCUUCGUCAUGAUUGGACAAAAAUGUAUGACAGAGGACAAAACAAUAUGGAAGAGGCUAGAAGAAAUGCAGAAGUUCAUGAACAUCGAGAACAUAAUCAGUGGCAAACCGAUAUUAGAGGCAGCGUACAACAGCCGGGAGUACAAAACGGAUGCAAGGGCAGCUUUCAAAUUCUACCGGCACUGCAUCCUUCACUACAACGACUAUUUGGAAGAGGUCAGUUCACCCUAAAUAUCAACUCAAACUGAAAACAGAUGAAAGACACAUAAACCCUAAGGAUACAACAUGUGAUACCAAGCAGCACCAAAAUAUUUACAAAGUGUACUAACUAGCUUGCUAAAAAUUUGAUGCAGGGUCGGAAAAUCUCAUUAGAAACUUUGGAGGAAAUUUUGAGCAGCACAUUCCAGAUGAUGAUGAUUACCUUAUUCAACUUUUAAGUUGAAGAGAACAUUGAUCUCAGCUUUAAACUGUAAGUUCAAAUUUUUUUUUUUAAAUAGUCGAAAACAAUUUGGUUUACCUAAUUAUAAUUUAUACUUGCAUUUUCAGUAGUGACAACUAAAACAACCAGGGGCAAAACACCAAGCGGGUUCACAAACAGCUGCACAGUACCAAGCCAGUUCAACAGCUGUUUAAUUGAAAUGCAAUUUUGUGUAAUGGAUCACUUUUAACAUUUCAAAUUCUGUAGACUGUUUAGUUUUGGAAAGAAGUUUCAUGAAGAGUUUGUUGAAUUCUGUGGUGGUUAAGAAAAUCAAAUCAGUUAUCAAACAAAAACAGUUUGCUGAGUCCAUCUUAUGUAAAGUAAAAAAAGAAAAUUGUAAUAUCUAAGACGAUAUAUGGAUAACAAAUCAACAUUAAGGAAAUGAGGUUCUCUCUUGUCAAGAAAGAAAAUCAAAUUCAAAGUGAAUGCAAAGAGUUCAAAAAAAAAACAUGCAAAAGAUAAACACAAGUGUUCAGCAAUACUUAGUUAAGAGUAUAUAUAUGGUUUUGAGAAAUUUUCCACCUGUGUGACCCCCACAUUGGCUCGCUCGGCGCGCAAUAGGACUUUGCCCUUGGAAAACCCUAAACGGCGCUUCCCCUAAACUUUUCCAAUCGCGGCCGCACCAAGCCCCUUCAACCAAUCGGCCAUGUAUCGCCUUGAUUCUUCUGAUUCUAAGGAGACCGAUUCGCGUAUCGUCAAGUCGACUUCCAACACCCAUGAGAUCCGAUCCCUACGCGUCGAGGGCUUGCUGCCAGAGAUGGAUGCGAAAUAUCUCUAUGGCUGCUUCAGUGAAUAUCUCUAUCUGUUGUAGCUGCCACUGUUAUUCAUGGUAAUGUGAGAACUGGUUUUGUUGAGUUUACUUCUCGGAGCUGGGCUGAGAUGAUCUUGAAGUCCUACAAUGGUCUCGGGAUGCCAAACUACGCUCAGAUAUACCGCCUGAAAUGGGAUAUGGAUGCUACCGGUAUGAUGUGGCGCUGGGAUUAUGCUUACGAGCGUUGUUCGUACUUUGGUUUUAAUGAUGCAGGUGAAGAAUUGAACGCCAACAAAGCGCUCUUGAGAUACAAGCACUUGAUACCUGCUGUAAAUGAAAAACCAGCUGCUGGUGGUGGUCAGCAACAUCAGGAAGGCGUGUCUGGUUUAACAUAUGAGAUAGUUGAAGAGAUUCUCUACAACAACUGGUUAGGUAAUAGGUUUCUGUAUCUAUGUAUGGAGGAAUUGUGUAAGGAAAAAGACGGUUGUUACGUUAUCCGCACCCUCAAGUUGUCGAACUUAUUGUCAUGCUCUUGCAAGUUUGACGAAAAGAUUGGGAGUAUAAUCACCUGCCGCUAUUGCGCCGACUGCAACGUGCCAUUUGAAUUGCAAAAGCAGGCUUGGCUAUGCACCAAGGACUUCGGCAACCGGAAAAAAGUCCGAGGCUUAUGGGAUGCACUUCUUGUUUCAGCGGAAUUAUGUUCGCCGGUGGCCUGGACCAGUCACCAGAUCAAACUUGAGCUCCUUACUUUGUGCCGAGUCAAAAAUGUUAUUAUUUUCAGCCGAGAGAUAUUUACCACUAUAAUCCCGAGUGGAUAAGGCUUCCGUACUAUCUCAAAAGCGGGAAACAGGGGCCCCUGCUGGUUAACGUUGAUGGAAGUCUCUGUUGUCUCUCUGGUUUACUCGUUGGUCUGCAAGUCGCUCAUCCUACUUUUGUGGUGUUCGAUCCCUUUGACGAGAGAUGGGUGCCUCUGCCGGAUCCUCCUUUUUACAGACCCGAAGCACUGAAUUACAAACACGGUGACCCUAGGCCUGGUACACACUUGUCUUAUGCAAUCAUGGGCACCAAGCUUUUGGUCUCGAGCAAGAUCCCUGGUUCAGGUUCCUCCCCUCACUUUCCCGUUUGUUGCUUUGACGUUAAGGAAAAAAAGUGGACAGAGGUCACUACCUUGUUCAAUGGUAAGCCUUUUCCCUUCCGACACAGGGCUUUAGUGGUCGACUUGGAGGAUGGUACCCAUGAUAAGGUCAUGUUUUACUUCAAUAAUUAUUUUGCUAUAAGAGUCUGCCGAUUAGUAGUUAAUGAGGAUGAUGGUAGUAUUAAGAACUCACCGCACCAAUCUCUGGGGAUUGAUACCCUCAUGACUAGCUUAUUGGAAAUUACCAUUCAAAAUCAGUCAAUGGUGAAAAUGUCGUGGGAUUUUGUUGAUCUAGGAAAUAAAAAAGUCUGCUUUGUUUUGUCCUCGAGCCUCCCGAAAGGCAGAGACGACGAGAGUUUCUGUCAUCGCCAGACCUUGCGUCUUCUUUUCUUGGUAAUUCAAUUUCAAGUUUUGGAAUCAGGAGAUUUCUCCUUCAAGUUCCUGGCUACUCGCACCUUUGAAUACCAGGGCCAUUUCCCUCGCAUCUGGCACCCCAAUCUGCAGGGUUGCUUUCUGCUUUAACUCGCUCCAUCCAUUGGUCUGGAGGUGCGGCUGAGAAGAAUCAGGUUGUGAAUUUUUCUUAUGAAAUGUACUUCAGUUCAGUCUGGCUGGGAGUAUUGGUUAUGCAUAUUCUUAAGAAAGUUCUUCGAGAUGAUGCAGAAUCACAGGUUGUGAAUUUUUCGUAUGAAAUGUACUUCAGUUCAGUCUGGCUGGCAGUAUUGGUUAUGCAUUUUCUUAAGAAAAUCUUAGAGAUGAUGAGGAGCCUGUAAUUUGUUUUAAGACCAUUUGAUUUUCUAUGCAAUGAUUAUCUGUUCCUUUUGUUU